rnacentral:lncRNA from 1 species
AGCGCCCGCGGCCCGGCAGCGCCAGGGAUCAGGGCAGGAACGUGACCCCGGCGAGGCCGCCGCGCCGCCGCUUCCUCCCUGCCGCCGAGCCUGAUCCCGAGCCCGAUCCCCGCGGCCGUCGCUCCCCGAUCCCUGCGGCCGUCGCUCCCCGAUCCCUGCGGCCGUCGCUCCCCGAUCCCUGCGGCCGUUUGUCCCCGAUCCCUGCGGCCGUUUGUCCCCGAUCCCUGCGGCCGUCGCUCCCCGAUCCCUGCGGCCGUCGCUCCCCGAUCCCUGCGGCCGUCGCUCCCCGAUCCCUGGAGCCGUCUGUCCCCGAUCCCUGCGGCCGUUUGCUCCCUGAUCCCUGUGACUGUUUGCUCCCCAAUCCCUGCGGCUGUCGCUCCCCGAUCCCUGGAGCCGUCGCUCCCUGAUCCCUGCGACCGUUUGCUCCCCAAUCCCUGUGGCUGUUGAUUCCCCGAUCCCUGUGGCCGUUUGUCCCUGAUCCCCGUGGCCAUUUGCCCCCGAUCCCUGCGGCCGUCGCUCCCCGAUCCCUGGAGCCGUCUGUCCCUGAUCCCUGCGGCCAUUUGCCCCCUGAUCCCUGCAGCUGUUGCUCCCGAUCCCUGUGGCCAUUUGUCCCCGAUCCCUGUGGCCGUUUGUCCCCAAUCCCUGCAGCCUUUUGCCCCUGAUCCCUGCGGCCGUCACUCCCCGAUCCCUGCGGCCAUUUGCCCCCCGAUCCCUGUGGCUGUUGAUUCCCCGAUCCCUGUGGCUGUCGCUCCCCGAUCCCUGCGGCCGUCGCUCCCCGAUCCCUGCGGCUGUCGAUCCCAAUCCCUGCGGCCGUUUGCCCCCGAUCCCUGCGGCCGUCGCUCCCCGAUCCCUGCGGCCGUCGCUCCCCGAUCCCUGCGGCUGUCGAUCCCAAUCCCUGCGGCCGUUUGCCCCCGAUCCCUGUGGCCGUCG